GGUUAAGCGACCAAGCGUACACGGUGGAUGCCCUGGCAGUCAGAGGCGAUGAAGGACGUGCUAAUCUGCGAUAAGCGCCGGUAAGGUGAUAUGAACCGUUAUAACCGGCGAUUUCCGAAUGGGGAAACCCAGUGUGACUCGUCACACUAUCAUUAACUGAAUCCAUAGGUUAAUGAGGCGAACCGGGGGAACUGAAACAUCUAAGUACCCCGAGGAAAAGAAAUCAACCGAGAUUCCCCCAGUAGCGGCGAGCGAACGGGGAGGAGCCCAGAGCCUGAAUCAGCAUGUGUGUUAGUGGAAGCGUCUGGAAAGGCGCGCGAUACAGGGUGACAGCCCCGUACACAAAAGCGCACAUGCUGUGAGCUCGAUGAGUAGGGCGGGACACGUGGUAUCCUGUCUGAAUAUGGGGGGACCAUCCUCCAAGGCUAAAUACUCCUGACUGACCGAUAGUGAACCAGUACCGUGAGGGAAAGGCGAAAAGAACCCCGGCGAGGGGAGUGAAACAGAACCUGAAACCGUGUACGUACAAGCAGUGGGAGCACAGGUUUACCUGUGUGACUGCGUACCUUUUGUAUAAUGGGUCAGCGACUUAUAUUCUGUAGCAAGGUUAACCGCAUAGGGGAGCCGAAGGGAAACCGAGUCUUAAUUGGGCGUUAAGUUGCAGGGUAUAGACCCGAAACCCGGUGAUCUAGCCAUGGGCAGGUUGAAGGUUGGGUAACACUAACUGGAGGACCGAACCGACUAAUGUUGAAAAAUUAGCGGAUGACCUGUGGCUGGGGGUGAAAGGCCAAUCAAACCGGGAGAUAGCUGGUUCUCCCCGAAAGCUAUUUAGGUAGCGCCUCGUGAAUUCAUCUCCGGGGGUAGAGCACUGUUUCGGCUAGGGGGCCAUCCCGGCUUACCAACCCGAUGCAAACUGCGAAUACCGGAGAAUGUUAUCACGGGAGACACACGGCGGGUGCUAACGUCCGUCGUGAAGAGGGAAACAACCCAGACCGCCAGCUAAGGUCCCAAAGUCAUGGUUAAGUGGGAAACGAUGUGGGAAGGCCCAGACAGCCAGGAUGUUGGCUUAGAAGCAGCCAUCAUUUAAAGAAAGCGUAAUAGCUCACUGGUCGAGUCGGCCUGCGCGGAAGAUGUAACGGGGCUAAACCAUGCACCGAAGCUGCGGCAGCGACGCUUAGGCGUUGUUGGGUAGGGGAGCGUUCUGUAAGCCGUUGAAGGUGGCCUGUGAGGGUUGCUGGAGGUAUCAGAAGUGCGAAUGCUGACAUAAGUAACGAUAAAGCGGGUGAAAAGCCCGCUCGCCGGAAGACCAAGGGUUCCUGUCCAACGUUAAUCGGGGCAGGGUGAGUCGACCCCUAAAGGCGAGGCCGAAAGGCGUAGUCGAUGGGAAACGGGUUAAUAUUCCCGUACUUGGUGUUACUGCGAAGGGGGGACGGAGAAGGCUAUGUUGGCCGGGCGACGGUUGUCCCGGUUUAAGCGUGUAGGUGUGUGUUCCAGGUAAAUCCGGUUCACUUUAACACUGAGGCGUGACGACGAGGCACUACGGUGCUGAAGCAACAAAUGCCCUGCUUCCAGGAAAAGCCUCUAAGCAUCAGGUAACAUCAAAUCGUACCUCAAACCGACACAGGUGGUCAGGUAGAGAAUACCAAGGCGCUUGAGAGAACUCGGGUGAAGGAACUAGGCAAAAUGGUGCCGUAACUUCGGGAGAAGGCACGCUGACACGUAGGUGAAGUGAUUUACUCAUGGAGCUGAAGUCAGUCGAAGAUACCAGCUGGCUGCAACUGUUUAUUAAAAACACAGCACUGUGCAAACACGAAAGUGGACGUAUACGGUGUGACGCCUGCCCGGUGCCGGAAGGUUAAUUGAUGGGGUCAGCGCAAGCGAAGCUCCUGAUCGAAGCCCCGGUAAACGGCGGCCGUAACUAUAACGGUCCUAGGGUAGCGAAAUUCCUUGUCGGGUAAGUUCCGACCUGCACGAAUGGCGUAAUGAUGGCCAGGCUGUCUCCACCCGAGACUCAGUGAAAUUGAACUCGCUGUGAAGAUGCAGUGUACCCGCGGCAAGACGGAAAGACCCCGUGAACCUUUACUAUAGCUUGACACUGAACAUUGAGCCUUGAUGUGUAGGAUAGGUGGGAGGCUUUGAAGCGUGGACGCCAGUCUGCGUGGAGCCGACCUUGAAAUACCACCCUUUAAUGUUUGAUGUUCUAACGUGGACCCGUGAUCCGGGUUGCGGACAGUGUCUGGUGGGUAGUUUGACUGGGGCGGUCUCCUCCUAAAGAGUAACGGAGGAGCACGAAGGUUGGCUAAUCCUGGUCGGACAUCAGGAGGUUAGUGCAAUGGCAUAAGCCAGCUUGACUGCGAGCGUGACGGCGCGAGCAGGUGCGAAAGCAGGUCAUAGUGAUCCGGUGGUUCUGAAUGGAAGGGCCAUCGCUCAACGGAUAAAAGGUACUCCGGGGAUAACAGGCUGAUACCGCCCAAGAGUUCAUAUCGACGGCGGUGUUUGGCACCUCGAUGUCGGCUCAUCACAUCCUGGGGCUGAAGUAGGUCCCAAGGGUAUGGCUGUUCGCCAUUUAAAGUGGUACGCGAGCUGGGUUUAGAACGUCGUGAGACAGUUCGGUCCCUAUCUGCCGUGGGCGCUGGAGAACUGAGGGGGGCUGCUCCUAGUACGAGAGGACCGGAGUGGACGCAUCACUGGUGUUCGGGUUGUCAUGCCAAUGGCACUGCCCGGUAGCUAAAUGCGGAAGAGAUAAGUGCUGAAAGCAUCUAAGCACGAAACUUGCCCCGAGAUGAGUUCUCCCUGAGACUUAAAGUCUCCUGAAGGAACGUUAAAGACGAUGACGUUGAUAGGCCGGGUGUGUAAGCGCAGCGAUGCGUUGAGCUAACCGGUACUAAUGAACCGUGAGGCUUAACCUU
rnacentral:rRNA from 1 species